rnacentral:rRNA from 1 species
GAUGAACGCUGGCGGCGUGCCUAAUACAUGCAAGUCGAGCGAACAGAUGAGGAGCUUGCUCCUCUGACGUUAGCGGCGGACGGGUGAGUAACACGUGGAUAACCUACCUAUAAGACUGGGAUAACUUCGGGAAACCGGAGCUAAUACCGGAUAAUAUAUUGAACCGCAUGGUUCAAUAGUGAAAGACGGUUUUGCUGUCACUUAUAGAUGGAUCCGCGCCGCAUUAGCUAGUUGGUAAGGUAACGGCUUACCAAGGCAACGAUGCGUAGCCGACCUGAGAGGGUGAUCGGCCACACUGGAACUGAGACACGGUCCAGACUCCUACGGGAGGCAGCAGUAGGGAAUCUUCCGCAAUGGGCGAAAGCCUGACGGAGCAACGCCGCGUGAGUGAUGAAGGUCUUCGGAUCGUAAAACUCUGUUAUUGGGGAAGAACAAAUGUGUAAGUAACUAUCCACGUCUUGACGGUACCUAAUCAGAAAGCCACGGCUAACUACGUG